UUCACUUAAUUUAAUUUACUUCACAUAAUUUCAAGACCCAUGCUGUAUAUCUUGUGGGAUACUGUAUGCAUAUAGACAGCACCCCAAUCCUGAACAGCCAUAGCUUUGUUGCUGCUGACUCCUGAAUGGAUGAGGAAGCUUUGUUUCUGCUGCAGUCACAUUUCAAUCUGAUUGUAGAGGAGACUUACUCUAAACUGAUGCUCCAGAUCUGUUUUGGUAAGAGUUAGUGGAAAUGAAGGUGCUUAGAUAGUAAGUUCUUUGAGGAGCCCAGAAGAGUUUGGUGUUUAUGGUAUGUAUCUCUCUUCAUCAAGUACCCAGCAGCAAUCUAUUUUAACUGAGAGCUUUAGCUACUAAAUAGCAGCAUCACUGUGCAGCUGCCAAAGGGAAGGUCGGUUCCAGUCCCUGCAGUGUGCCUGAAGCCUGCUUCUGUCCGAUUUUCUGUCCUGCUGGCUCUGUUUCUUUGCAGGCUCAGUUGGGCACAGGCCCACUUUCCAAGGGAGGAAUGGAGAAUACUCCUCUGCAGCCUACCCUGGAAAAUCUAGUCUUGGAAUUCAGAUGGGUGUAUUCUAUAAACUGCUGUCCUAAUACAACUGCAUUGGAAAGGCGUUGGAAUAGCUCCAGCAUGAUAUACGGGAUGUGGAAAUACUCAGCAUAAAAAAUGAGAUGAGUUGGCUGGCUAUGUGAUCUUGAAGAAGAUCAAGAAUUUGGCAGUAGGAAGCCUGAUUAUUUCUAUACAGUGCUAUAGGAAAGACUUGUUCAGAAGACAAGAAUGGCCAGGAGGCAGGGCAAGGCUGAAGGAAGCGCAACCUAGAGUCCGAAAUAGUGACUUGGUCAUUACAGACAGCUGACAAGAGAAGGGUCUUGUUUCUUGGACUUAGACAUGAAGAUUGUCUUGUCUGACUAUACAUGUGGUAGGCCAGAGAGUGGAAUAUAAAUAUAUCUGAGAUGAAAUUGCUGAACUUCAAAAACAUUUUUUUUUUUCCCUGUAAACUCCUAGUAAAGAUGUGUCUUUGAAAUUCAUUACUUUUUCAUAAAUAUGUCUUAAAUGGAAUAAAAAAAUCUAAACAAGUGCUGGAUUUUUAAUUUGACAGCAUUUGAAAAGUUUCAAAAAUGAUAGGAAAUUUCCAGCCAAUUAAGGCUCAGUUUGCAGUUUGUUUUUAAAUUAGUUGAAAGAUUGGUACUCUGACAUCUUAGAAUUACAACCCUAACGUGAAGAGUUACGACAGCUUCCAGAUGAGGGACAAUCAUAUGCAUAAAUUGUUUUAAAUAAAUCAUUCUAAUUGACUUUCUCUCAUGGUUACUUUUGGUAGGGUGGGGUGUAUUGUCACAUUACAGUUUUAACUGAAGUUUUGCAUUAAUAUGAAUUUCUAAUUGUGAAGAAUAAAUGCACAAGAAAAGAGUAAUCAAAUUUUUUAUAGGUCAUGCUAAUUGCAGAGAAGAAGAAAUUAGUGAGACAUUCAUUCAAGAGAUCUCAUGCAAACAUGACUGAUCAUUAAUCAAUUUGAAAAGAAAUUAUUCGUAAAAGUGAUAUAUGAAGAAUUUAGAGUAGAACACUGUUUUGUUAAGAGGAAGUGAAGAGUAGAACAGAAUUAUUUCUUUCUCUCUUUCCUAUCACGAUUAUGCUCCAGAUUUUUUUUUGCCCUCCUUGGUGGAUGUGGCUUGUCACAACCACCUGUGCCUUCCAGUUUUCAUCUUCCAAGCAAAAACAAGAUAAUCCAAACCCUUUCCCUUUGGAGGUAUCAUUAGACUUUGUCCUUUUUAGAAUUAGAAAGUACUUACAAUACAUGUAAAUCUUUCUUAAAGAGGUUUAAUAUUGUCUAGUUUUAGUUCUGAUAAACCCAUACUUUUAAUUUCAUCACUGGUUAGAAUUGUUAAGUACUAGGUAAGAACUAAAUACUAUGUUUCUUUUAGCAUGAUAUUAGGAAAGAUUUUGGCAGGUCAGAAGGAGAAGAAGUUGCACCAUAUUUAGACAUUUGGUUGACAUUCUUUUGGUCCUACACACCCAGUAAAAUGUCAUGGAUUUACCUGUUGUGUAAAAUUCAUUUUUUUUCUUUUUUUUCCCUCUCUUUCCAAAGCAUGUCUGUACUUGUUCGGCAUCUGACAUCCUAGUAGAAGAGUUUUUAUCUAAUUCUAAUUUUUCUUUCUCUUAGCUAAUAUGGAUACACACAAAGAAAAUUUAGCCAGAUUAUUUUGCAAAAGAAAUAUUUACCUUGAGUCAUGCCACUGCAAAAUUUUACUUCAGGAUACUUGUAGAGACCUUUGAAUAUCACAAUGUUGUGAUAUUCACAACACUUUUCUUUGUGAAAUGAGACACCAGAAUUACUCACCAAUCUGUGUUAUUACCCAAUACUGCCACUGUUUUAUCUACUUUAAAGGAUAGGAAACUGAAAAUCUAUCUGUUACUAACACAAACUUAUAUCCUUAUCUGUUGUAGAAAACCUUGUUGAAUGCUGUCGGUAGCUUUUCUGAAAUGGGAGAUGGGUGUUCACAAAGUGCUGGCGCUUUUUCCUCACAUCUCACUGUUUUUCCCUGUUUUCAUUGCAGCACUUGACUCCUACGCUGUUUUCUUGUCUUCCUGCAGAUUUCCAUACUCAGCUGGCAGACAUCAGUGUAAUCCACAAUGACUAAUUACUUUCCCAAUAAAUCCAAACAUUCUGAUCUCUUAUGUCCUUGAAUUUAACUUUAGGUCUAAAGAUUGGGUUUCUUUAUCAUUGCAUAGGAAAGAAAACUGUGGGAAGGGCAAAAGUUUAAAAUUCUGAGAUCAAACACCUCUGAAAUCUGUUCUGACUUUCAUUUUUCUUAUGCUUACUUCAGAGAAAGAAGUUAAUAAAGAACUAAAAUUGGGAGGCACUUUUGGAAAUGUAAAUGCAAACUGGAGAAUUCCAACAUUUACUUGUCUGAACAAACAUAAACAUCUUGAGGUGGUAUAGCAGAAGUGAAGUUGUUUUAUAACAGAAAAUGGAAAAUUAGUAGAAGAUACUGUAGAAAAAAGAGUGAGUUUUCAUUCAAUUUUGGCCAAAUAUUGACAAGUCUUUUACCAGCAAAAAUGACGGUGAUGGUUUUUCUUUCUAAUAACUGUGUGGAAAAAUGAAAGUGGUCAGUCUGAAACAGAACUAUAUGUUUUCCUCUGAAGUAGUUUCUCUGCUAAGUUCAGGUAUUUAAUGAAUAAAUUCAAGAGAUCUUACAAAAGUGCUGAGUGAGAGUUAAAUGGCAGAAAUGUAUUGUGCUUUGGAGCUCGGUGAAAAUUCUGAUGUUAAAAUAACCAUGUGUUUGGGCAGAAGUCCUAGAAUUCAAACAUAGGAACGUUGUGGUCAUAGGCUUGGGUCAAUUGUAAAUUCAACCUAAAUACAAGUACAGAUAUAGCUUAGAUGACUAAAAUUAAAUUCUUGAAAUAAAGUUAUGACAUGAAAGUAAAUUAUGUGCAUUAUUUACACUUAAUCUCCCUAGCUCUUGCAAACCAGUGAUAGACUUAAACUAAAUUUAUUGAAGAUAAAAAGACAAUUUUUUCUCAUCUUUGAAUUUUCUAAGAGUUAGUUCUAGGUAAUUAAGGUUUGUUAAGAUUAAGAGUGAAAUAAUAUUUCAUUUUAUUUUUAAUUUUGGUUAAUUUUAAAUUAUGUGUUUUUAUCUAAUUCUGUACUAAUAAGUGAACCAUAUGACAUCUUCAACAAUCAUAUUGAAAAUUUAGGUCAAGGUCUUGCUUUAUAUCUGCGAACUUAAUUUUGAGCUGGAACUCUGAAGCAAUGUUUAAAGAGUAUGUAUGACACAACAGGAAACAUCUGUGAAAACAGAAAUGGAUUGUGAGACUUGUUGAUACAAGGUGAGUUUCAUCCUACUGACUUAGUUUCACACAAUGUUUUUUCAUUCAGGGUCAGUUUCUGAAAUUUAAGCUGAUACAGAAGUUUCUUCGUGAAGAGUCAGUUAAAUAGUUAAGACUACUUAAGUCCAUUCAGGAUCAAUGAAUGUAUAAGAGUUUAAGCUUUGAGUUGGGACAGUGAAAAUGUUGAAUGAUAAAGCUGCAUGAGUGAACAGAAUAAUAAGAGUAGUUAAAAGUAGGAAGAGAUUUUUUUCUGUUAAUGCAGGUUAGGAUUUUCAAGAGGAGGGUUUAGCUAAAGAAGAGAUAGUUAGAGUCCUCUUUCUUCUUCAUUAUUUUUGACAGUAAAACUUAUAUGUCAGUAGUUUUUAGCUAGGAAACAGCUUUAUCUCUCAAAUGUUUAAAUUGUUUUCCACUCCCUUUCCAAAUAGUUACUUUUACACUGGUAGACUGAAGGGUUAGGUAGAGAAAAGGAGUCUGAAUAUUAUAAGAACACAUUACUAACAUAAGCUGAGAGUUAGCAUUUGAAUUUUAUUCCUGCACUGAUGGGUGGUGACAGUGAGGAAAGUGAGUAAUAGUAACUAGGGUCAUUCUAAGGCAGACAUUCCUCAAAUCCAAGUAAUGAAUCAGCCUAGCUCUGCUUGUCUACUCUCUCCUUUUUGAUCCCAAUUAGAGCAUAUUAUCACUCAGAAGCCACAGUAGAUUUAGAAGGUUCAUGUGAUUAAAUUAGAGGAGGUAGAACUUAGUUCUUGAAGUCAGGUAAGAAGAUAUUUCAGUGCUGGAUAUAAUAAAGACAUUGAGUGAUCCUCCACUCCAGAUCCUUCACUCCAAAUGGUUUGACUUACUGAAGUCUUGUUGCUGGAAGCAUCAUCACAAAAUGUUUAGGGAAGAAAAUUGCUGUAGAGGGUCACUGAGAGACAUUGCUCUUCUAUUGUCCCUCAGGUAAUCCCAAAUCCAUGAAAACUCCUUUGCACUGAUCACCACAAUGCCAGAGCAACUGGAAACAUGGAGAGCAGAACCAUAUGAUACAGAAGUUUGUUCAUCAGUGGAUCAUGGGAUUUUUGGAGAAUGAGACUACAGCUAUGUUGCUGUGAACAGGCAGAAACAGUAUUGAUUUUGUCUUCCCCGUGCUCCAAGGCAGCCAGGCAGCUUUGGAACUGGAACCACAAGGAAUUGCAAGACUGAAUUUAGGCUUCUGACCUUGCAUAUCAAGGCACCUGGGUGGGCUCUUGCAGAAAUAUGAAAGUUAGAUGUGCUUGCAUAUAAACAGUGUCACUCCAAACAGAAGAACUGGAGAUCCAUCACAAGUAUAUGAUGGUUGUGUGGUGUGUUAAAGAGAAAGUAACUGCACUUAAAAAUCUAGAGACAAUGAAAUAAGCAUUUAUUUGCCUGGACAGUCCCAUGGAAAUCAGAAAUUUCCACAAUAUAUUUUAGCAGUGUAGUUCAGUAUUUUGGAAAGCAACUUCAUGCUGGUAUGUUAGAAGGUUUGGUAAGUUUUAAAGAACACUUUUACAUUGUCUUUGCUAGUCGUAUCAGAUGGUGAUUGGAUUUUGAAGAUUAAACAGAGAGACUAGUGAAGCUGUAUUUUGAAUAAGGCUGUAAAAUUUUAGUGUUCCCUGUUAUGGUUUGAGCAGGUGUUUAGAGGAAUAAUGACAUGCAUCUUUAUGGUCCUGAUGCAAAUAUUCUAAGUAAUA